rnacentral:lncRNA from 1 species
AGUAAGCGCAAAGGCUCUGAGGCAGUUUCAUCUGAGAAACUGGCCCCACCAGUCCUGGGCCCAACAUCAGCCCGCCCUCAUCAUGGGUUUCCAGCUGCUCCUGUAAAGUCAACAGUGCCCAGGAACAAUGAAGAAGGAGGGGACAGCAGGGAGGCCCAUAGCCCACUGUGCUCCCUCGCAAGCAUGUGACCCUCAGGAAUGACUGGCAGAGCAUCUGGCGCUGCUAACCCAGCCCUGAAGUAUGCCCAGUGCUUGCUUCCUAUGAGGCCCAGCCUCCCAUGGAGCCUUCGGG